rnacentral:rRNA from 1 species
ACGAACGCUGGCGGCGUGCCUAAUACAUGCAAGUAGAACGCUGAAGGAAGGAGCUUGCUCUUUCUGGAUGAGUUGCGAACGGGUGAGUAACGCGUAGGUAACCUGCCUGGUAGCGGGGGAUAACUAUUGGAAACGAUAGCUAAUACCGCAUAAAAUUGAUUAUUGCAUGAUAGUCAAUUAAAAGGUGCAACUGCACCACUACCAGAUGGACCUGCGUUGUAUUAGCUAGUUGGUGGGGUAACGGCUCACCAAGGCGACGAUACAUAGCCGACCUGAGAGGGUGAUCGGCCACACUGGGACGGAGACACGGCCCAGACUCCUACGGGAGGCAGCAGUAGGGAAUCUUCGGCAAUGGACGGAAGUCUGACCGAGCAACGCCGCGUGAGUGAAGAAGGUUUUCGGAUCGUAAAGCUCUGUUGUAAGAGAAGAACGAGUGUGAGAGUGGAAAGUUCACACUGUGACGGUAUCUUACCAGAAAGGGACGGCUAACUACGUG